GACGAAGGAUGCAAGCGUUAUCCGGAUUCAUUGGGUUUAAAGGGAGCGUAGGUGGCCUUAUAAGUCAGUGGUGAAAUCUCUGGGCUUAACCCAGAAAUUGCCAUUGAUACUGUAGGGCUUGAGUACAGAUGCCGUUGGCGGAAUAUGACAUGUAGUGGUGAAAUACAUAGAGAUGUCAUAGAACACCGAUUGCGAAGGCAGCUAACGAAACUAUAACUGACACUGAGGCUCGAAAGUGUGGGGAUCAAACAGG
rnacentral:rRNA from 1 species